AUUUUUGGAAAUUUUCUCAAUGCCUUCCAGCAUUAUUUCAGGAAUGAGGUCACUGCCAAUGACCAGAUCAAUUUGGGACGGAGAGUGGCAGUUAGUAUCUGCUAGCUGGAGGUGAGACCAUUUUUCUCGUUGUUCGAGAGUUGGCUGGAAUUUGGGAAGCAUUUUCGUCAACUGUGGCAGGACUAUUG